CUUCCUUCCAUAAAGAUAACUAUUCGAACAAAAACAUUCAAGAAAAAGAAAAUUCAAAAUCCAACAUCAAACCCUGCAUCGUAAGCUGCAGCAUCUGACACCAUAUCUCCGAUUAAAAGCCCACCAAGAACUCCUCCGAGUAAGCCAGCUCCCAAUCCCAGCCCAAACUUGUUCUCCUUUGGCGGUUGUUGCACUGCUGGGUACCCAUAUCCUGCCUGAGCCCGUGGGUAUCCAUAGCCUACCUGAGGAGCUGGUGGGUAUCCAUAGCUUACCUGAGGAGGUGGUGGUGGGUAUCCAUAACCAGGCGGUGGUGNNNNGCCGUACCCUGGAUGAGGAGGUGGAUAAGCAUAACCUGCCACCUGUUGUGGUGGUGGAGGAGCAGUUGGAUAAGGCCCAAGUCCACCAUAAGGUGCUGAACUAGGACCAACCAUCGGAGGAGGAGGAGCAGGAUAUGCAGUGACGGGUUGGUCAGCUUUGCCCCCGACCUUCUCAGGUCCUGAGUCGAAUUUGUCACCAAACUUAUAAGAAAAACUCAACUCACCUUUAGGUUUCCCCGAUGGCUUUCUGACCUGAUAAAUAACAAACUGCAUGGAUUUCCCAUCUCCCAUGGAAUCCAAGAGCUCCUUGACAGGGACGUUGACUUCACCUAUAUCUUUAUCUCCUAAGGCACGAUCACACCGGAGCUUGAAGACGAGGUUUAAGCGGUUCUGCUGAGCUGGGGUCUCAUAGAUUGUGAAUUUGG
rnacentral:misc_RNA from 1 species